UUCAGACAGUUUCUAGAGAAUGAAAUCUUCUAUUUUUCUACCAAACUGAUAAAGCAACUAGUGAUUACGGUGCAAACAUCACCAUGCUGCCCCCUCACUGAUGUGUCUUAACCUUGACCUCAUCUAGAGAGGAGAAAGGGAGGUCAGUCUCCAUGGCCCCUUGAGUCCUUUACCUCU
rnacentral:sRNA from 1 species